AGAUGCGAUCAUACCAGCACUAAAGCAUCGGAUCCCAUCAGAACUUUGAAGUUAAACGUGCUUGGGCGAGAGUAGUACUAAGAUGGGUGACCUCCUGGGAAGUACUCGUGUUGCAUUCC
rnacentral:rRNA from 1 species